rnacentral:rRNA from 1 species
UACGGGGGAGCAAGCGUUGUUCGGAUUUACUGGGCGUAAAGGGCGCGUAGGCGGCCACCGCAAGUCAAUUGUGAAAUCUCCGGGCUUAACUCGGAAAGGUCAACUGAUACUGCGGGGCUAGAGUGCUGGAAGGGGCAACUGGGAAUUCUCGGUGUAGCGGUGAAAUGCGUAGAUAUCGAGAGGAACACCUGCGGCGAAGGCGGGUUGCUGGGCCGACACUGACGCUGAGGCGCGAAAGCUAGGGGGAGCGAACGGG